rnacentral:rRNA from 1 species
UACGAAGGGGGCUAGCGUUGCUCGGAAUCACUGGGCUUAAAGGGUGCGUAGGCGGGCCUGUAAGUGUCCUGUGAAAUCCCCCGGCUCAACCGGGGAACUGCGGGGCAUACUGUGGGUCUUGAGGAAGGUAGGCGCCGAGGGAACAGUAGGUGGAGCGGUGAAAUGCGUAGAUAUCUACUGGAACGCCGAUGGUGAAGACGCUCGGCUGGGCCUUUCCUGACGCUGAGGCACGAAAGCGUGGGGAGCAAACAGG